AACAUUCUUUUCCCACAGAUACUCUUCUGUGUCAUUCCUGUACUUUACCUGGCUUUCUGCACUCAAGAUCUUAUCUCCUUGGGAAGACCCUGGAGUGGACACAGUAUAAACCAUCCCAUCUCCUUGACCUGGACAAUCCUUUGACCUCCUGUAUUUGCCCCUUGGUGGCUUCUGUUUUGCCCUAUAAAGACAGAUUCUGUUUCCGGGAGGUGGACUGGGCCGAUCUACCUUCCUACUGCAAACCCUCUCCUAGAACUACGGGAUGAGCAGAAACAUGAGGGACAAGAUGCAACAUGUGAAACCCUCCAGCCUCCUCGCCCCCUUGCAUGCUUGCUUUCCUGGGACCUUCCACGAGGUGCUCUGCACGUAGACAAGGGACCCAUCCAGGAAUAAGACGGUGUCCAGUGGAGCAGAGCUGGCUGUGUCCUCUGAGAACGCAAGGAAGCACGAGCAAGAGAAAAACGUCUGGGCUCAGAUCCCAGUGAACUCAUCUGCUUCUCCUUGAACUUUUUGCAAUAUCAUCUAUGCUGGAAAUGAUCAUUUAAAGCCACAGCCUAGCAUAAUGUUUACAUCCUGAGGGUUGGAACUGGAGUCAUUAAGUCUUUCAAACAACAAGGACUUUCUCCAGAAUACCUACUUGAUAAACCUUCUUGACUGACUGUGCCUAUUUGUAAUCUCUGCUCACAACUGGGUCCUUGACAAAACCUACUAUAAACUUCUCAACCAUCAAUUAUACAUAAAAAAUGUGGGUGAAAUGAUGGAGAAGAAUUCAACAAAUAGCAUUGCUCAUAAUGGAGAGAAGAUUCUACCUUCUACAAUAUGUAAUUUGAUGAAAUAUGCUAAGCAAGGUUGGGAGAAAAUAGAACCAUUAUUUGUUGUCCGAGCUCCUGGAUCACACGCUACCACUUGCUUAUCUCACUGGGCUCAAGCUUUUCCUGUGGCAUGCCCCCCUGUUCAUCUACCUAUCUGCCUCGCCCAUGGUUUGCUGAAUGCUCCCGGUGAGCCUGGUAUCCUGAAGGACCUUCAUAUCCGCUGUGGUUGGGUUCUCUCAGCUUUCUGCUUGGCCUUGGUCAAAGCCACGGUACACUCCAACUCUUCAGCUCUGGCCCGAAUGCCUUGA
rnacentral:lncRNA from 1 species